rnacentral:rRNA from 1 species
UGCAAGUUGAGCGAAGCUUUUUGGUAGUUUACUACUAGAAAUGACUGAGCGGCGAACGGGUGAGUAACGCGUGAGCAAUCUACCUUAGUUACUGGGAUAGCCCGAGGAAACUCGGAUUAAUACCGGAUAUUCUUAUUUUUUCACAUGAAGUUUUAAGGAAAGGUCAGCCGAACUAAGAUGAGCUCGCGUUCUAUCAGCUAGUUGGUGGGGUAAAAGCCUACCAAGGCUACGACGGAUAGCUGGUCUGAGAGGACGAUCAGCCACACUGGGACUGAGACACGGCCCAGACUCCUACGGGAGGCUGCAGCAGGGAAUAUUGUGCAAUGAGCGAAAGCUUGACACAGCGACACCGCGUGUGGGAUGACGGUUCUAGGAUUGUAAACCACUUUCAGGAGGGAAGAAAAUGACGGUACCUCCACAAGAAGACCCGGCCAACUAUGUGCCAGCAGCCGCGGUAAUACAUAGGGGUCAAGCGUUGUCCGGAUUUAUUGGGCGUAAAGAGCUCGUAGGCGGUUCAACAAGUCGGUCGUAAAAGUUUAGGGCUCAAACCCUAAAAUGUCGAUCGAUACUGUUGUGACUAGGAUACGGUAGAGGUGAAUGGAAUUCCGAGUGUAGCGGUGAAAUGCGUAGAUAUUCGGAGGAACACCAAUUGCGAAGGCAGUUCACUGGACCGUGAUCGACGCUGA